AAGACUGCAGACAGACAGUAAGACAGCAAGCAGGUACUCCUUGAGAAGAGGGUAUGGAGCUGGUACACCCAGAGCCAGGAAGGGAACCAGAGUGAUAGGAAGCAGUCCAGGGAAGGAACAGUGAGGGUAGAGAGAGGAAGCCUGGAACUGCUGAGCUGAGGGUCCCUGGAUUGGAAUACAGAGAAAAGGAUGGGUGUGGCACCAAGGGUGUGGCAUCGAACUGGGGCAGUGAAUGGGAAGACUGCCUAGGAUUGCUGAUGGACUGUACCCCAGAAGGGUGAUCCCUGAAUGACCUAGCCACAGAGUGGAGCUUCAGACCAGUGAGAGAGACAGAGCGACUGCAGACGGGGGAGUCUACCUCAAGGGCUAAUCAGAGUGACCAGGAGGAGGCGCCAGACAAGCGCAGAUGAAACAAAAGUCAUCCAUCCCACCAACAUCAAUAAAUGAGGGAUGGGGGAAAAAAAGAAGAGAAAGUCAAUGCAUAAGAGCAUUUCCAGCAAAAGGGAGGCAUCGCAUCCUGUACAGAUGGAAUCUUUAAAGUAAGAAUCCAUUCCCUGCUCGGCAAGUCUGUAAGCAAUUUUUAGGAUUCACCUUCAUGACCUUUCACUACCACUACAGUUGGGAGUGGGUCAAUAAAAAUGGAAAGAAACCUUUUUUUUACUGUCGCUUUUAGCCCUGUAGCUUAAUUACUUGAUUUGACUGUUAUGAUUUCAUGCUAAUUGCCUUUUAUUGCAUGUAUAAAAAGCACUUCUAUUCA